GACGAACGCUGGCGGCGUGCUUAACACAUGCAAGUCGAACGGAAAGGCCCUGCUUUUGUGGGGUGCUCGAGUGGCGAACGGGUGAGUAACACGUGAGUAACCUGCCCUUGACUUUGGGAUAACUUCAGGAAACUGGGGCUAAUACCGGAUAGGAGCUCCUGCUGCAUGGUGGGGGUUGGAAAGUUUCGGCGGUUGGGGAUGGACUCGCGGCUUAUCAGCUUGUUGGUGGGGUAGUGGCUUACCAAGGCUUUGACGGGUAGCCGGCCUGAGAGGGUGACCGGCCACAUUGGGACUGAGAUACGGCCUAGACUCCUACGGGAGGCAGCAGUGGGGAAUAUUGCACAAUGGGCGGAAGCCUGAUGCAGCAACGCCGCGUGCGGGAUGACGGCCUUCGGGUUGUAAACCGCUUUCGCCUGUGACGAAGCGUGGGUGACGGUAAUGGGUAAAGAAGCACCGGCUAACUACGUG
rnacentral:rRNA from 1 species